GCCUCUGCCUCCCAAAGUGCUGGGAUUAUAGGCAUGAGCCACCAAUGUCAGGCCUUGAGAGCCCAUUCAAGCAUCCUGCUCUCCUGGGGGAGGUCUCCCCAGACUUGCCCAGACAGGAUGGGCAUCCUCAUUCAUGCCCCUUGUCUCCUAAGUGUGUCUGUUGUACUUUGGUGACCAGGUGACACCCCCUCUGGCUGGGAGACCCUCAGGGGAGCAGCCCUGCCUCUUUAGGUUGUUUUGUGCCCAACACAGGGCCUAUGCUGGGGACACUGAUAAGAAAAUGUCGGAUGGGCUGGCCACCGUGGCUCACACCUGUAAUUCCCGAACUUUGGGAGGCCAAGACGAGGAUCGCUUGAGGCCAGGAGUUCAAGAUCAGCCUGGGCAACAUAGUGAGACUCCAUCUCUACCAAAAAUUUAAAAAAUUAGGUAUGGUGGCACACAUCUGUAUUCCCAACCACUCAGGAGGCUGAGGCAGUAUGGAUCACUUGAGCCUGGUAUUUGGAGGCUGCCGUGAACUAUCUGAUUGCACCGCUGCCUUCCAGCCUGGGUGACAGAGCAAAACCAUGUCUCAAAGAAAGAAAAAUGGAUGGAUGGACAGACCAACAACUGGGGCUAGAAACCAGCUACAGCCAGGCACAGUGGCUCACGCCUGUAAUCCCAACACUUUGGGAGGCCAAGGCGGGUGGAUCACCUGAGCCCAAGAGUUUGAGACCAGCCUGAG
rnacentral:lncRNA from 1 species